ensembl:snRNA U1 U1 spliceosomal RNA
AUAUCUACCUGGCAGGGUAGAUACUGUGAUCGCAAAGGUGGUCUUCCCAGGGUGAGGCUUAUCCGUUGAACUCUGGGUAUGCUGACCCCUGUGAUUUCCCCAAAUGUGGGAAACUCAACUGGGAAAAA